ACAAGGCAACUAGGCGGCCUGGCCAAAACUGCCAACAGCCAACAGGCAGCAGGCAGCAGCCAAACUGCCAGACAACCGGGCCAAAAGCUGAGCCAUGCGAUGGCAAAACGUGCUGAGUUUUCGUAAUUAGUGCACAAGAGUGCAGGCCAGCCCGUUGGCCACGUGCAGGGAUUUCCAGGGGUAUUCAGUGGUGAGAGGGGUUUAGUCGGGGCAUCGGAGGACCCAAAACACUCUCCAGCCGACGGAGCACGUUUAUGUGGGACUGCUGGCGAUGGUGGUACUGGUGGAGCUGCCUUUUCGGCCUUUUAGAGUUUUAGAGUGUGACAUGGAAUAUGGCAGUGCCUGCGUCAUCUAUCGCCUUCUUGUGCGAGGAGUGUUUCUCCUGCAGAUGGCUUAAGUAAGUUGUUAGUCGCUGGUCGCGUUGCCUCUGCGCGUUUGACACACAAGUUGUCGCCUUUAAGCCACUGCCUCCGAAUAUUGAAUUCCCAAUGAGAUUUUCUUCCUUCUGGAGACGGAAGAAUAAGCGGAUAAAGGAAUAAAGGCACGAAAGUUGGGCAAGGAAUUGGCUGUUAAAAAUUAACAGC
ensembl:ncRNA lncRNA:CR43434 long non-coding RNA:CR43434